GACAGCGGUGGUUUGGUCGCGAGCUGUUUCAUCUUCUUUCGGUUUGUCUGGGCACCAUCAUCACCCGUGUCUUCAUGAAGAGGGGAAAAGACCGGACAUUCCAGCCCGUGUGCAGCGGGUUCCCCGCCUGGAGGAGAGGGACACCCCGCCCUGGGGGCGGGGCCGGGCGCCUGGGGAGGACGGGGCGGGGCCUCCGCCGGGUCUUCCGGUUCCUUCCGGCGGAAACGCCACGCUCCCUGGGCUCCCGGGGCCCGUCUGUCUGAAGGGGGCCUUUCUGCGGCAUUUCGGUCUGCUCGCUUGGCUCCAGGAGACGCACUGGGCGCGGAUGCGCUCCCGGGGAGAAGCUCCCGCAGAAGAGACGCUGUAAUUGCCUCAGAGACUAACGGCGGGCGCCUUGGGGAGGGCGGUCCCCGUCCAGACUCUCUGGGCUUCCCGCUGCCAUCGGCCGGCCUGCAGGACCCGCGCGGGCUGCGGCGGGAGUGAAACUACCGCGCCCGGCUCCGCCGCUGCCCAGGAGCGGGGCUCGCUCCGGUGUCGGCGCUCCCCUCCCCGGACUUUGCCGCUGCUGCUCCUCGGGGCGCAGGCUCCCACGGGUGCAGAGUGUGAGACCUGGACGGCAUCUCGGAGUGCAGCCUGAGCGAGCCUGGGUGCUCCUUGGCCCACCGCCACCUGGAGCCCGCAUCCCUGCCGUGUGCCGAGUGCCGGGAGGGAUUCCUUGUUGUCAUUCUGAGGAGAAGGCCAUCGGCGUUUCAACAAGGACACCCUGAGUCUAGGCUUGGCUUCGGGCAGCGAGGACGGGGUGACCCUGUUGCUCCUGCUGACCCUGAGCUCAGUGUGUGUCCCCCAUCGCGUGUCCCCCCUUCGUCUCCUUUCUCGGUUCCUCCAGCCGUCAGGGCGCAGGCUGUCCGCUCUCUGGCUGACCUUGUUCCCGGGUGGUUUCUGCUUUCGGAUGCAACCGCAGGAGGGGCUGACGACACCUCCCUGUGGUUACCCGUCACUGCUGCACGGAAGUGCACCCGGUGUCCACGUUGUGUCCUGCGACGUCACUGCCUUCAUUUGCACGUUCUCAUGGGAUUUCGUGGGUCCUCAAACGGUCCUACGUAGCCCGUCCUGCCGUCUGCGAGCAGUGGGAAGGCUCCUCCUCCCUCGGAUGUGCUU